rnacentral:rRNA from 1 species
UACGGGGGGGGCAAGCGUUGUUCGGAAUUACUGGGCGUAAAGCGCGCGUAGGCGGCUUUUCAAGUCGGGCGUGAAAGCCCCGGGCUUAACCCGGGAAUGGCGCUCGAUACUGUUGAGCUAGAGUGUGGAAGGGGCUACUGGAAUUCCGAUGUGUAGCGGUGAAAUGCGUAGAUAUCGAGAGGAACACCUGCGGCGAAGGCGGGUAGCUGGGCCGACACUGACGCUGAGGCGCGAAAGCCAGGGGAGCGAACGGG